rnacentral:rRNA from 1 species
UACGAGGGAUGCAAGCGUUAUCCGGAAUUAUUGGGCGUAAAGAGUUUGUAGGCGGUCAAGUGUGUUUAAUGUUAAAUGUUAAAGCUUAACUUUGAAAUUGCGUUAAAAACUGCUUGUCUUGAGUAUGGUAGGGGUAAAGGGAAUUCCCAGUGUAGCGGUGAAAUGCGUAGAUAUUGGGAAGAACACCAGCGGCGAAAGCGACGCCUACUGGGCCGAUUACUGACACUCAUGGACGAAAGCUAGGGGAGCGAAAGGG